rnacentral:tRNA from 1 species
GGGGACGUGGUGAAAUUGGUAGACACGCUGGAUUUAGGAUCCAGUGCUUAACGGCGUGAGAGUUCAAGUCUCUCCGUCCCCACCA